GUCCCUUCGAGAACUUCUGAUAAAAUUGGAAUCAUAGUUAGAAGAUUAGCAUAACCCCUACACAAGGAUGACACACAUAAAUUUGACUGUGAAUUCGGACAU